UCGUUCAUGAAGCUGCCGCCGCCAUCCUUCAUCUCUCCCUGUUCGGAUGAGUUUGGUCCUCUCUUCUUUCCAAAGCCAACAACGGCAGUGACGAAGCGGCGAUUGGACUGCAUC